GGCUUGGCGGUAAGGUUGGCCCAAUUCAUCAAGGGAGAGGGAAUAGCUAAGGUUCAUAUCAACUUUGAAACUAAACAAAACGCAUGCUGAAGCAAUUCAAUACCUCACCUAAAAACCCACCUCCUCCAAUGCGUCGGAGGUCGGCUUCAGCGGCGGCAGAGGGCCGAAACAUGAAAUCUAUACAUCACCCUCUACGUCUAUUCAUUCCCUCUCCAUAUCCGCGAUCAAUUUUAACCAAUUCAGCCUCUAAAGCCUAAACCGAUUCAAAAUGCUCAAGAACCCUAAAAGCUUAAAAGUUAAAUUAAAUGUUCAUCUUGGGGAAUCAAAGCCCAAGAGGUUGGGGCUUCGAUUCCCAUACCCUAACUCAUAUUCCGGUAACUGAAUUGAAGUGAAAAGAGGAAAAAAUGAGGCUUACGCUUCCGGAGAAGGUGAAGAUAACGACUUGAUUCCGUUGGUUUUGUAGGGUAUGCAAAAGUGGAGAUUUUAAUUCAACGAAGCCUCUAAGCAUGAAGACACACGAGAACUUGGUGAAUGCAACAUUAAAAGCAAAUGGAUCCUUUAAGAUUCAAAAAGAUGACUUGGUGGAGAAGCAAUGCAAGAAAUAAGGUUUAUGAUGGUAAAAAAUAGUUAGUUCACUUUGGUCAAAUUGUUGAUCAAAAAGUCAACAGUUGAUCAAAAGUCAACUUAUGUAUAAAAUAGUAUUUUUUUUGGAUGAAAUAAUAUGUAAUGUAAUGACUUUUGAUGUAUUGAUGUAAUGAAACUUUGUAAUGAACUCCCCUUUAUUUGAAAUGCAAAUGGACUUGGAAAUGAAA